UACGUAGGGUGCGAGCGUUGUCCGGAAUUAUUGGGCGUAAAGAGCUCGUAGGCGGUUUGUCGCGUCGACUGUGAAAACCUACAGCUUAACUGUGGGCUUGCAGUCGAUACGGGCAGACUUGAGUUCGGUAGGGGAGACUGGAAUUCCUGGUGUAGCGGUGAAAUGCGCAGAUACAGGAGGAACACCGGUGGCGAAGGCGGGUCUCUGGGCCGAUACUGACACUGAGGAGCGAAAGCGUGGGGAGCGAACAGG
rnacentral:rRNA from 1 species